ACAAAGUUUGGUGAUUUUUGGACAUACAGAUAAAUUAUUAAAAUUCCUAGAAGUUUUCUUUACUAAUUAAAAGAGCAAAUUUUUAUACACUUGCAAACUAUCAGAAAACAGAACCUAAUAUUUUUCUUGGGUUCUACAUAUUUCAGGGAGUCUAUACAAAAAUUUUCAUCAUUUUUGGAUCACCACACAAUUUAUUACUCAAUUUCAAACAUCAAGCAUUUUUAAACAAAAAGGAAAAAGAAAAAAAGUGCACUGUGCUGCACUGGCGGCC
rnacentral:lncRNA from 1 species